UACGUAGGGUGCGAGCGUUAAUCGGAAUUACUGGGCGUAAAGCGUGCGCAGGCGGUUCGUUGUGUCGGCGGUGAAAGCCCUGGGCUCAACCUGGGAAUUGCAUUGGAUACUGGCAGGCUAGAGUGCGGUAGAGGAUGGCGGAAUUCCCGGUGUAGCAGUGAAAUGCGUAGAGAUCGGGAGGAACAUCUGUGGCGAAGGCGGCCAUCUGGACCAGCACUGACACUGAGGCACGAAAGCGUGGGGAGCAAACAGG
rnacentral:rRNA from 1 species